rnacentral:rRNA from 1 species
GACGAACGCUGGCGGCAUGCCUAACACAUGCAAGUCGAACGAGACCUUCGGGUCUAGUGGCGCACGGGUGCGUAACGCGUGGGAACCUGCCUUUAGGUUCGGAAUAACUCAGAGAAAUUUGAGCUAAUACCGGAUAAUGUCUUCGGACCAAAGAUUUAUCGCCUUUAGAUGGGCCCGCGUAAGAUUAGCUAGUUGGUGGGGUAAAGGCCUACCAAGGCGACGAUCUUUAGCUGGUCUGAGAGGAUGAUCAGCCACACUGGGACUGAGACACGGCCCAGACUCCUACGGGAGGCAGCAGUGGGGAAUAUUGGACAAUGGGCGAAAGCCUGAUCCAGCAAUGCCGCGUGAGUGAUGAAGGCCUUAGGGUUGUAAAGCUCUUUUACCCGAGAUGAUAAUGACAGUAUCGGGAGAAUAAGCUCCGGCGUAACUCCGUGCCAGCAGCCGCGGUAAU